CUCCAGGCUGCUGGAAGCUGGAACCCAAGGUGUUAGUGCGGAGUUAACGGAGCAGCCCCUGGGGCCAGAUUUAGUGGUUGAGCUCUGACCCCAGAUGGCAGUGUGGAUGCAGGCACAGGGCCAUGCUGCCUCUGGGAUUCCUGCCCUGGGUUCUGAGUGUUUGCACGGGGCUCCCUGCUCCUGAUGCCAGCUUCAGCCCCUCGGUCCCCAGGGCAGUGCUGCGCCCCUAACUCAGGUCAGACAGGUUUGGGCUCAAGGCCUGGAUGUUCCAUUUAUUACUUGUGUGACCUUGGGCAAGGAUUUAAUGUUGCUGUCCUGAGGGUUCUGAUGGCUAAUUGGGGUUCCCCACCCCGUUAGGGCCCUGCACUCCCAGCUGGGCUCUGGGAGGCAGGGCUAGUUCUCCUGUCUUCACCUCCCUGCAGGGUCCUGUGCGCCCCCUGCCCCAGGCCUUGACCUGCCUGCUCCAGGGGCCCUCGGGCCACAGUGCUUCCAGAAACUCUGAUCCAAAGUGCCCCUUGGCCUCCUGGCUGGGGUCCAUCUCAGACAGAGGUGAGGCCGGGCCAGGCUCCAGUGGAACUCAAGUUUCUUGCUGGGGCUCGUGAAAGGGCUUGGUUAAGGAGCCUGGGCUGUUUGGGUUCUGAUCCUUGGGAGUACUGGCUUUGAACAGUUGGGGAUUUCUUUCCAGCCACUUUUUUCUGUCUUUACCACAUUUACAUACCCACACAUAAAAAUUUUUAAAUAGAACAGGAUCAGAUUGCAUAUAAUUGGCCUGUUAUUUUUCUAUCCAUGCCCAGCAAUCUGUCUUUCUGACAUUCGACAGCUUUCUCUAUUAGUGUUCAAUGUGGACACUUCUUGCAACUUUUUUAAACUGGGGGAAUAUUCACAUGUGUAUAUAUAUAUGAAUGUAUGUAUGUAUUUUUCUGCAUGGACAGUUGGGAAGCUUACUGGGGUUUGCUUUUGUUUUAUUAUUUAGUAAACUUUUUCUUCAACUAUAGUUAAAUGUACGAUUCAAGACAUUCUCACAAAUCAGUGCUCCUGGAUAACCCACACCUGGCUCAAGAAACUGCUCCUCGCCAUACUCCCAGAGCCCCGGUGCUUCCUGCCUGUCCCCAUGCAGGGCUACCACUGCUGUGACUUCUAGCAGCUUGGCUGAGUUUGCCUUUUUUUUGAACACUGUGUAAACAGAAUCAUACUCUAAGAUCAACAUUCUGUUUAUGAGUUUCAUAAUGUGGCAAUGUUUGUUUAUUCUAAUUCUGUACAGUAUUCCACUAUGUGAUCCCGUAGCCAUUUAUCUGUCCUAUUGAUGGAAAUUUGGGUCACUUCCAAUGUUUUGCUAUUACAAACAAUAGUGCAAAAACCAUCUUUGUGUGUAAAUAGAUCUGUGUAUCUGCA
rnacentral:lncRNA from 1 species